rnacentral:rRNA from 1 species
UACGUAGGGGGCAAGCGUUGUCCGGAAUCAUUGGGCGUAAAGCGCGUGUAGGCGGCCAGAAAAGUCCGCUGUGAAAACUCGAGGCUCAACUUCGAGCUGUCGGUGGAAACUUUCUGGCUAGAGUCCGGAAGAGGAGAAUGGAAUUCCUGGUGUAGCGGUGAAAUGCGCAGAUAUCAGGAAGAACACCCGUGGCGAAGGCGGUUCUCUGGGACAGUACUGACGCUGAGACGCGAAAGCGUGGGGAGCGAACAGG